CUGACGGUAGUCGUAUGCUCGUCUCCGAGACUAAGCCAUGCAAGUCCAAGUACACGUCCUUGAACGACGGAAACUGCGAACGGCUCAUUAAAUCAGUUGCGAUCUACUCGGCGUUCCGCGCCGCCGGAUAACCGUAGUAAUUCUAGGGCUAAUACGUGCGAAGCGCCCGAAGCCGCGAGGCGACGGGCGUUCUCGCCGGAUGUAGGAACCGACCCGGGGACCGCCGGGGCAACCCGGCGCCCCCGAGACGGGGCGAACCACGGUGAAAUGACGGAUCGUCGGCCCCGCGCCGGCGACUCGCCGAAUGAGUUUCUGACCUAUCAACUCGAGACGGCGGGGUAGAGGCCCGCCGCGGUAACGACGGGUAACGGGGAAUCAGGGUUCGAUUCCGGAGAGGGAGCCCGAGAAACGGCUACCACUU
rnacentral:rRNA from 1 species